ACAUGCCUACAACAUAUCAUUAAUGCAUUGGAUCCCAUUAGAACUCUGCAGUUAAGCGUGCUCAGGCUAGAGUAGUACU
rnacentral:rRNA from 1 species